AUUGAACGCUGGCGGCAGGCCUAACACAUGCAAGUCGAGCGAGCGGCGGACGGGUGAGUAAUGUCUGGGGAUCUGCCCGAUGGAGGGGGAUAACUACUGGAAACGGUAGCUAAUACCGCAUACCAUCAGAUGAACCCAGAUGGGAUUAGCUAGUAGGUGGGGUAAUGGCUCACCUAGGCGACGAACCCUAGCUGGUCUGAGAGGAUGACCAGCCACACUGGGACUGAGACACGGCCCAGACUCCUACGGGAGGCAGCAGUGGGGAAUAUUGCACAAUGGGCGCAAGCCUGAUGCAGCCAUGCCGCGUGUAUGAAGAAGGCCCUAGGGUUGUAAAGUACUUUCAGUGGGGAGGCGUUACCGGCAGAAGAAGCACCGGCUAACUCCGUGCCAGCAGCCGCGGUAAUUC
rnacentral:rRNA from 1 species